rnacentral:lncRNA from 1 species
AUGAAAACUAAUGACAAACUGGUAUGGUGAGAAAGCUUGAAAGAGAGAAGGACAUGCAAAGAAGAUUUGAGCAAACAUGAAAAAUAUAGAGGAUAAAUAUCGAGGAUCGAAUCCUGCUUGGAAUCACUUCAUGCAAGGUGUUUUCAUGUUUUGCAAUCAUACCUUCACAAUAUAUGUAAUAGGUAAUAUGUGGUCAAAAGGGUGUUCGCAAGGUGUAUGGUGUUUUCAUGUUGGAGGUGAUUUUUUUACCAAUAAUUGAGCAGCGGCUGUGAUCUGAGGAAUAUAACAGUUGUCCAGCGAGGGAAAAAAAUCUUAGUGGGUGAAAGCUGAAGUGUUUAACAAAUUGACAGGAGGUUCAUGUGAAUUCUGUAGGCACUGGUAUAUACAAUGGUUUAGCUAGAUAAUUUAUAAUGUUGGUAAAAUUUGUCUGUUUAUUCUUUUGAUCUGAAUGGCAUGGAAAAUAUUGAUUCGUUUCAUUUUGUCAGUUUUUUAUGUGGUGCUCAGUAAUGCUUGAUUUAUGUUAAUUAAGCCAAUGCUUUCACUUGUUCCAGGGAACGAAAAACAAAUGACAGACUACCAAAUGUUAUUUUGCUAACAGUAGAGGGCCAAUGUUAACUCGUGCAAGAAUGGUUGUACACAGAGGCGCCAAGGUGCUCCAGCAAUACAAGGGCGCACAGCUCCGCCUCAAGAGGCGCGCCAAGGGCGCGCCCCAGCCCCUAGUGCCCAG